AACUUUGAGCAGUGGCAGUAUCGUAGCCAAUGAGGUUUAUCCGAGGCGCGAUUAUUGCUAAUUGAAAACCUUUCAAAUUACUACUUUUCAGAGCACAAAAGUGGAAUGAGAAAUGAAACAAAAGUGCUCAAUCUUCACU
ensembl:snRNA U4 U4 spliceosomal RNA